GUUCACUUUGGCAGCACCUAUACUAAAAGUGGAACAAUACAGAGCAGAAAGCAUGGGCCCUGCACACUGACGACAUGCAAAUUCGUGAAGCAUUCCAUAUUUAU